rnacentral:tRNA from 1 species
GAGAGGUGGCAGAGUGGUCGAAUGCGCCCGACUUGAAAUCGGGUGUGCCGAAAGGCACCGAGGGUUCGAAUCCCUCCCUCUC